UGGGGAAUCUUGCACAAUGGGGGCAACCCUGAUGCAGCGACGCCGCGUGAGCGAUGAAGCCCUUCGGGGCGUAAAGCUCUUUCGACCGGAACGAUAAUGACGGUACCGGGAGAAGAAGCUGCGGUUAACUACGUGCCAGCAGCCGCGGUAAUACGUAGGCAGCAAGCGUUGUUCGGAGUUACUGGGCGUAAAGAGUGCGUAGGCGGUUUUCUAAGUUCGGUGUGAAAUCUCCCGGCCUAACUGGGAGGGUGCGCCGAAGACUGGGAAGCUGGAGUGUGGGAAAGGCAGGCGGAAUUCCUGGUGUAGCGGUGAAAUGCGUAGAUAUCAGGAGGAACACCGGCGGUGUAGACGGCUUGCUAGACCAUAACUGACGCUGAGGCACGAAAGCGUGGGUAGCAAACA
rnacentral:rRNA from 1 species